rnacentral:piRNA from 1 species
UGAACUACAGCGAAAAUUCAAGUCUCAGCCU